GACUCUCGGCAACGGAUAUCUCGGCUCUCGCAUCGAUGAAGAACGUAGCGAAAUGCGAUACUUGGUGUGAAUUGCAGAAUCCCGUGAACCAUCGAGUCUUUGAACGCAAGUUGCGCCCGAAGCCACUAGGCCGAGGGCACGCCUGCCUGGGCGUCA
rnacentral:rRNA from 1 species